rnacentral:rRNA from 1 species
AGGACGAACGCUGGCGGCGUGCUUAACACAUGCAAGUCGAGCGGAAAGGCCCUUCGGGGUACUCGAGCGGCGAACGGGUGAGUAACACGUGAGCAACCUGCCCUUAGCUCUGGGAUAGCUCCGGGAAACCGGAAUUAAUACCGGAUACGACCUAGGCCGACAUCGGCCAUGGUGGAAAGUUUUUCGGCUAGGGAUGGACUCGCGGCCUAUCAGCUAGUUGGUGGGGUAAAGCCUACCAAGGCGACGACGGGUAG